GAUGAAGAACGCAGCGAAAUGCGAUAAGUAAUGUGAAUUGCAGAAUUCAGUGAAUCAUCGAAUCUUUGAACGCACAUUGCGGCCGCCAGUAUUCUGGCGGGCAUGCCUGUUCGAGCGUCAUUUCAACCAUCAAGCCCCCGGCUUGUGUUGGGGACCUGCGGCUGCCGCAGGCCCUGAAAAGCAGUGGCGGGCUCGCUGUCACACCGAGCGUAGUAGCAUACAUCUCGCUCUGGGUGUGCUGCGGGUUCCGGCCGUUAAACCACCUUCAUAACCCAAGGUUGACCUCGGAUCAGGUAGGAAGACCCGCUGAACUUAAGCAUAUCAAUAAGCGGAGGA
rnacentral:misc_RNA from 1 species